GUUUGUAUGGCCUCUGCCACUGCACUGGGAUACUUAACAUUUAACCAGACUGCGUACCGCCAUCUAUUAGUAGAGUGCAGGAAUAAACCAAAGCAGUUUAGCUGUCUAAUGAAUAACCUCGGCAGAGAUGCACAAAUAGACCAGAAUUUUGUAAAUGAGUUCCAGUGAGAAAGACGAGUGGGACUGCCUUCUCUAAGUUUGAUGAUAAACGGAGGACCACCUGCAGUUCCAACUUACUCUAGAGAGAGGUUGUGGAGUUGUAGAGGAAGACAUCCCCGGACUAAAUGUCAACCCAAGGAUUCACUACUAUUAAUAUCUACCCCUGCUCACUUAAGGGGAAAACUCAGGAGAGCAAAUAUGUUCCAUAGACAAACUUCUAGAAUAUAUUCAUUUACAUAUGCAGUUUCGUCAGACAUCACAAAAGUUUAAAGACCAAGAAUUGUUAAUGUCAGUAAGAUUUAAGCACUGCACCAGGAGAAAAGUUUAAGUCCUGUGUCAACGAUGGAGUUGAAAAGCACUUAAUGUAAUUAUGCAAUGUUCUGUUACUUUGUAUUUACAAAGUUUCUUAUGUCAGUUAUUUCACAAACAUGUUUUGUGAAAUCUCAGUUCUUGAGACUGUGUUAGAUGAAGGAAGACCAUCUAUGAAUACUUUAAAAAGAGCUACAGUGCUAAAGAAUAAAUGCAUUAAAAAUUUAAAAACUGUGAAGUAA
rnacentral:lncRNA from 1 species